rnacentral:rRNA from 1 species
GUAGUCCACGCCCUAAACGAUGUCGACUGGUUGUUGGGAGAGGCAACUUUCUUAGUAACGAAGCUAACGCGUGAAGUCGACCGCCUGGGGAGUACGGCCGCAAGGUUAAAACUCAAAGGAAUUGACGGGGACCCGCACAAGCGGUGGAUGAUGUGGAUCAAUUCGAUGCAACGCGAAAAACCUUACCUACCCUUGACAUGUGCGGAAGCCUGGUGAGAGCUGGGUGUGCCCGAAAGGGAGCCGCAACACAGGUGCUGCAUGGCUGUCGUCAGCUCGUGUCGUGAGAUGUUGGGUUAAGUCCCGCAACGAGCGCAACCCUUGUCACUAAUUGCCAGCAUUCAGUUGGGCACUUUAGUGAGACUGCCGGUGACAAACCGGA